rnacentral:rRNA from 1 species
CUGAAUGUACCGAAGGAAUAAGGAUCGGCUAACUCCGUGCCAGCAGCCGCGGUAAUACGGAGGAUCCAAGCGUUAUCCGGAUUUAUUGGGUUUAAAGGGUGCGUAGGCGGCUUAUUAAGUCAGGGGUGAAAGACGGUGGCUCAACCAUCGCAGUGCCUUUGAUACUGAUGAGCUUGAAUAUACUAGAGGUAGGCGGAAUGUGACAAGUAGCGGUGAAAUGCAUAGAUAUGUCACAGAACACCGAUUGCGAAGGCAGCUUACUAUGGUAUUAUUGACGCUGAGGCACGAAAGCGUGGGGAUCAAACAGGAUUAGAUACCCUGGUAGUCCACGCCCUAAACGAUGAAUACUCGCUGUUAGCGAUAUACAGUUAGCGGCUAAGCGAAAGCGUUAAGUAUUCCACCUGGGGAGUACGCUCGCAAGAGUG